rnacentral:tRNA from 1 species
GGAGGGGUGACCGAGCGGUCGAAGGUGACGGUCUUGAAAACCGUUGAACCCUCACGGGUUCCGUGGGUUCAAAUCCCACCCCCUCCG